rnacentral:rRNA from 1 species
CCUACGGGGGGCUGCAGUGAGGAAUAUUGGUCAAUGGUCGGGAGACUGAACCAGCCAAGCCGCGUGAGGGAUGAAGGUACAGAGUAUCGUAAACCUCUUUUGUCAGGGAACAAAGGCGGGGACGGGUCCCCGGAUGAGUGUACCUGAAGAAAAAGCAUCGGCUAACUCCGUGCCAGCAGCCGCGGUAAUACGGAGGAUGCGAGCGUUAUCCGGAUUUAUUGGGUUAAAAGGGUGCGCAGGCGGUCUGUUAAGUCAGCGGUAAAAGCCCGGGGCCCAACCCCGGCCCGCCGGUGAAACUGGCAGUCUCGAGUUGGAGAGAAGUAUGCGGAAGGCGCGGUGUAGCGGUGAAAUGCAUAGAUAUCGCGCAGAACUCCGAUUGCGAAGGCAGCAUGCCGGCUCCACACUGACGCUGAGGCACGAAAGCGUGGGUAUCGAACAGGAUUAGAUACCCCAGUAGUC